rnacentral:rRNA from 1 species
UACGUAGGGCGCAAGCGUUAUCCGGAAUUAUUGGGCGUAAAGAGCUCGUAGGCGGUUUGUCGCGUCUGCCGUGAAAGUCCGGGGCUCAACUCCGGAUCUGCGGUGGGUACGGGCAGACUAGAGUGCGGUAGGGGAGACUGGAAUUCCUGGUGUAGCGGUGAAAUGCGCAGAUAUCAGGAGGAACACCGGUGGCGAAGGCGGGUCUCUGGGCCGUAACUGACGCUGAGGAGCGAAAGCAUGGGGAGCGAACAGG